UUCGGGAUGCCGGCGAGUGGCGAACGGGUGAGUAAUACGUGGAAACCUAUCCCGAGGUGGGGGAUAACAGCUGGAAACGGCUGCUAAUACCGCAUAAGCCCUAAGGGGGAAAGAUUUAUCGCCUUGGGAGGGGUCCACGUCGGAUUAGCUAGUUGGUAGGGUAAAGGCCUACCAAGGCGACGAUCCGUAGCUGGUCUGAGAGGAUGGACAGCCACACUGGGACUGAGACACGGCCCAGACUCCUACGGGAGGCAGCAGUGGGGAGUAUUGCGCAAUGGGGGAAACCCUGACGCAGCGAUGCCGCGUGGGUGAAGAAGGCCUUCGGGUUGUAAAGCCCUUUCAGUGGGGAAGAUAGUGACGGUACCCACAGAAGAAGCUCCGGCUAACUCCGUGCCAGCAGCCGCGGUAAUACGGAGGGGGCGAGCGUUGUUCGGAAUUACUGGGCGUAAAGGGCGCGUAGGCGGUGCAGCAAG
rnacentral:rRNA from 1 species